AGAGUUUGAUCAUGGCUCAGAUUGAACGCUGGCGGCAGGCCUAACACAUGCAAGUCGAGCGGAGGUAGCAAUACCUUAGCGGCGGACGGGUGAGGAAUGCAUCGGAACGUGCCGAGUAGUGGGGGAUAACGCAGGGAAACUUGCGCUAAUACCGCAUACGCCCCGAGGGGGAAAGUGGGGGGACCGCAAGGCCUCACGCUAUUUGAGCGGCCGAUGCCCGAUUAGCUAGUUGGUAAGGUAAUGGCUUACCAAGGCUACGAUGUUAGGGGGAUCUGAGAGGAUGGCCCCCCCACACUGGUACUGAGACACGGACCAGACUCCUACGGGAGGCAGCAGUAAGGAAUAUUGGUCAAUGGGCGGAAGCCUGAACCAGCCAUGCCGCGUGCAGGAAGACGGCCCUAUGGGUUGUAAACUGCUUUUGUACCGGAAUAAACCCUUCUACGUGUAGGAGGCUGAAUGUACGGUAAGAAUAAGGAUCGGCUAACUCCGUG
rnacentral:rRNA from 1 species